rnacentral:rRNA from 1 species
GACGAACGCUGGCGGCGUGCUUAACACAUGCAAGUCGAACGAAGUGGCGAACGGGUUAGUAACGCGUAAUCAACCUGCCCUUCAGCGGGGGACAACAGUUGGAAACGACUGCUAAUACCGCAUACUGAAGGAGGGGAUGGCGUCUGAUUAGCUAGUUGGAGGGGUAACGGCCACCCAAGGCGAUGAUCAGUAGCCGGGCUGAGAGGAUGAACGGCCACAUUGGGACUGAGACACGGCCCAGACUCCUACGGGAGGCAGCAGUGGGGAAUCUUCCGCAAUGGACGAAAGUCUGACGGAGCAACGCCGCGUGAGUGAUGAGGGCCUUCGGGUUGUAAAGCUCUGUUAAUCGGGACGCGGUACCGGAAUAUAAAGCCACGGCUAACUACGUGCCAGCAGCCGCGGUAAUAC